rnacentral:rRNA from 1 species
GUUGUUGAAAAAGUUUUCCCAGAUGCAGAGCAUAGGUUUUGUGUUAGGCACCUAUACCAAAACUUCCACAAGAAAUUCAAAGGUGAGACAUGGAAGAAUCUGCUGUGGGCCAUGGCCAGAUCUACAAACUUACCAAGAUGGAAUGAGAACAGAGAAAAAAUGAGAGAGGCUUCCAUUGAUGCUUACAACUGGUUAGAGGGAAAGCCACCUAAUCAAUGGGUGAAAAACUUCUUCGAUGAUUUUCCAAAAUGUGAUAUUCUUUUGAACAAUAUGUCUGAGGUGUAUAAUAGUUACAUACUUGAAGCUAGAGAGCUAUGUGUUGUGUCAAUGUUGGAGUGCAUCCUUGCAAAGAUUUCACUGAGGCAUGCAAGCAAACACAGAGAAGCAGUGGAGAAAUGGACAGGAAGAAUUUGCCCAAAAAUUAGGAAGAAG